UGGUGAAGAUGCGUGUAGUGAUACAG
rnacentral:piRNA from 1 species